GCCAGCAGCUGUAUUUCCCUGCAGCUCACAACUGGGAACCCACUAAAGCUCAGUGGGUAUGAGCCUGGCCAGUACCUGGUUGGGAGACCUCCUGGGAAAGCUAAGGUUGCUGCUGGAA
rnacentral:rRNA from 1 species